rnacentral:rRNA from 1 species
GACGAACGCUGGCGGCGUGCUUAACACAUGCAAGUCGAACGGAAAGGCCUGCUUUCCCUUGUGGAUUGCGGGUACUCGAGUGGCGAACGGGUGAGUAACACGUGAGUGAUCUGCCCCCAACUUGGGUAUAAGCCUGGGAAACUGGGUCUAAUUCCCGAUAGGACUGCAGGGUGGUGCCUGUGGUGGAAAACGAUUUUCUAGUGGUUGGGGAUGAGCUCGCGGCCUAUCAGCUUGUUGGUGGGGUAAUGGCCUACCAAGGCGGCGACGGGUAGCCGGCCUGAGAGGGUGGACGGCCACAUUGGGACUGAGAUACGGCCCAGACUCCUACGGGAGGCAGCAGUGGGGAAUAUUGCACAAUGGGCGGAAGCCUGAUGCAGCGACGCCGCGUGGGGGAUGACGGCCUGCGGGUUGUAAACUCCUUUCGACCGCGAGGAAGCCACCUGGUGGGAAGGGUGGUGACGGUAGUGGUAGAAGAAGCACCGGCUAACUACGU